rnacentral:rRNA from 1 species
CAGUAGCCGCGGUAAUCCGAAGGGUGCAAGCGUUACUCGGAAUUACUGGGCGUAAAGCGUGCGUAGGCGGUGAGUUAAGUCUGCUGUGAAAUCCCCGGGCUCAACCUGGGAAUGGCAGUGGAUACUGGCUCGCUAGAGUGUGUCAGAGGAUGGUGGAAUUCCCGGUGUAGCGGUGAAAUGCGUAGAGAUCGGGAGGAACAUCAGUGGCGAAGGCGGCCAUCUGGGACAACACUGACGCUGAGGCACGAAAGCGUGGGGAGCAAACAGGAUUAGAUACCCCCGUAGUCCCUGUCUCUUAUAC